GUGCCUAAUACAUGCAAGUCGAGCGAACAGAAGGGAGCUUGCUCCCGGAUGUUAGCGGCGGACGGGUGAGUAACACGUGGGUAACCUGCCUGUAAGACUGGGAUAACUCCGGGAAACCGGAGCUAAUACCGGAUAGUUCCUUGAACCGCAUGGUUCAAGGAUGAAAGACGGUUUCGGCUGUCACUUACAGAUGGACCCGCGGCGCAUUAGCUAGUUGGUGGGGUAAUGGCUCACCAAGGCGACGAUGCGUAGCCGACCUGAGAGGGUGAUCGGCCACACUGGGACUGAGACACGGCCCAGACUCCUACGGGAGGCAGCAGUAGGGAAUCUUCCGCAAUGGACGAAAGUCUGACGGAGCAACGCCGCGUGAGUGAUGAAGGUUUUCGGAUCGUAAAGCUCUGUUGUUAGGGAAGAACAAGUGCGAGAGUAACUGCUCGCACCUUGACGGUACCUAACCAGAAAGCCACGGCUAACUACGUGCCAGCAGCCGCGGUAAUACGUAGGUGGCAAGCGUUGUCCGGAAUUAUUGGGCGUAAAGGGCUCGCAGGCGGUUUCUUAAGUCUGAUGUGAAAGCCCCCGGCUCAACCGGGGAGGGUCAUUGGAAACUGGGAAACUUGAGUGCAGAAGAGGAGAGUGGAAUUCCACGUGUAGCGGUGAAAUGCGUAGAGAUGUGGAGGAACACCAGUGGCGAAGGCGACUCUCUGGUCUGUAACUGACGCUGAGGAGCGAAAGCGUGGGGAGCGAACAGGAUUAGAUACCCUGGUAGUCCACGCCGUAAACGAUGAGUGGUAAGUGUUAGGGGGUUUCCG
rnacentral:rRNA from 3 species